AUGGUGCUAACCCGGCUUGACGCCAAGCUUCUUCUGCCACGACGAAGUCAGCAGAACACUUCUACACCGAACCGCUGUCGUUCUUCGCCGGGGUCCGUAUGCCCUCGACUUGAACCGGAAUCUUCAGAGCAACAACAUCAAGCAUUCGCGGUCCGGCAACCGCGUAGACUGAGGAAACUGGUUGGAAGACAUAAUUUAGUGGGAAGGGAUUGGAUCAACUACUGGUUUGAAACAGGCAGUCUGAGUGGUGUUUGUUGGCUUGCUGUCGAGUUCGUGGGGUUUGCUGAGGAUUCUUGUAAAACGGAAGCUAGCCUUGUCUACAACCAACAGUCGUCAGCAUCCGGUCGCUGCAAAACACACGUCAAAACAACACUGGAUUAUGGACGGUUCAGGGUGAAAUUUUCUGUAUAUUUCUGUAAAAGACGAGCUGCCUCUUCCAAGUCGCCGUGCCUCUGUUCUGAACCGCCGCCUCGCCUCUGGGUCGUUGUCACCGAGCCGCGGCAGCGCCUCUCCAACCCGCCGCUGUGGCAGACGCGCUUCAAACGACUCCCCGGAGCGCCCUCGUCGCAAAGCGAACGAACCUCCCUCGUCAAAGCGGCCUUACCUCCAAGUCGCCGUUCCAUGACCAUGAGCCGGUCCUUGGCAGCAGCCGACCUGCGCCAUCGCCUCCGAGCCACAGCCGCUUUCCGCCUCUACGCAAUUAUUCCAGUGGCCGGAUCAAGUUGCCUUGCCUUCAUCGUACUUUGGGCCGGACUCCACCUCAAACCGCCGUCAACGCCGCGGCUCUCCAGCCCCGCCAAAUCGCCGCCGGAUCACCGCGGAGCGGCCUCGCUGAAUCGCCGCUGGGUCACCGCUGAGCGCCUCGCCAAAUCGCCACCGGACGCUCUGCUGCCUUCGCUAUUGCGCUACACGCAAUCGGGCCGCCCUGAUCCGUCCCCCGCCGGUCCGACCUUGCUUUGCCUCUCCGCCUGCCGCUGCACCUAG
rnacentral:rRNA from 1 species